AUUGAACGCUGGCGGCAGGCCUAACACAUGCAAGUCGAGCGAGCGGCGGACGGGUGAGUAAUGUCUGGGAAACUGCCUGAUGGAGGGGGAUAACUACUGGAAACGGUAGCUAAUACCGCAUACCCUCAGAUGUGCCCAGAUGGGAUUAGCUAGUAGGUGGGGUAACGGCUCACCUAGGCGACGAUCCCUAGCUGGUCUGAGAGGAUGACCAGCCAAACAGGAACUGAGACACGGUGAAGACGCCUACGGGAGGCAGAAGUGGGGAAUAGUGCACAAUGGGCGCAAGACUGAUGCAGCCAUGCCGCGUGUGUGAAGAAGGCCUUCGGGUUGUAAAGCACUUUCAGCGGGGAGGCGUUACCCGCAGAAGAAGCACCGGCUAACUCCGUGCCAGCAGCCGCGGUAAUAC
rnacentral:rRNA from 1 species